AUGAGCAUUUUUCAUCACGAUAUCUUUUUCUUCCUCAUUCUUAUUUUGUUUUUCGUAUCAUGGAUGUUGGUUCACGCUUUAUGGCAUUUCAACAAGCAAACCAAUCCAAUCCCACAAAGGAUUGAUCUCAAUGUUCUCGUCAUGACCAAUGCUCCUAACGAGGGUGACUUUCCCAUAGACCAACCUCCUGUUGGCGGACUACCAGACCUCCAGCAGGAAAUGGCGCACGCCGCCCAUCCCGAAGACAUUAUUGCGGAGUUGACUUCCAAGGUUGAAAGAAUAUUUCACGAAGUAGGCACUCCUCUUCCAUUAGAGGAC
rnacentral:rRNA from 1 species